UACGGAGGGUGCAAGCGUUAUCCGGAUUUAUUGGGUUUAAAGGGUCCGCAGGCGGACUUGUAAGUCAGGGGUGAAAGCCGGCAGCUCAACUGUCGAACUGCCUUUGAUACUGCAAGUCUUGAGUGAGGUUGAAGUAGCUAGAAUGAGUAGUGUAGCGGUGAAAUGCAUAGAUAUUACUCAGAAUACCAAUUGCGAAGGCAGGUUACUAAGUCUUAACUGACGCUGAGGGACGAAAGCGUGGGGAGCGAACAGG
rnacentral:rRNA from 1 species